CGACUGCUAAUACCGAAUGUGUCGCAAGAUGAAAGAUUUAUUGCCUAGAGAUGAGCUCGCGUCUGAUUAGCUAGUUGGUGGGGUAAAAGCCUACCAAGGCGACGAUCAGUAGCUGGUCUGAGAGGAUGAUCAGCCACACUGGGACUGAGACACGGCCCAGACUCCUACGGGAGGCAGCAGUGGGGAAUUUUCCGCAAUGGGCGAAAGCCUGACGGAGCAACGUCGCGUGAGGGAGGAAGGCUCUUGGGUUGUAAACCUCUUUUCUCAAGGAAGAUAAUGACGGUACUUGAGGAAUCAGCAUCGGCUAACUCCGUGCCAGCAGCCGCGGUAAUACGGAGGAUGCAAGCGUUAUCCGGAAUAAUUGGGCGUAAAGCGUUCGUAGGUGGUUUUGUAAGUCUGCUGUUAAAGCGUGUAGCUCAACUACAUAUAGGCAGUGGAAACUACAAAACUUGAGUGCGUUCGGGGUAGAGGGAAUUCUUGGUGUAGCGGUGAAAUGCGUAGAGAUCAGGAAGAACACCGGUGGCGAAGGCGCUCUACUAGGCCGCAACUGACACUGAGGGACGAAAGCUAGGGGAGCG
rnacentral:rRNA from 1 species